ensembl:lncRNA
AUGACCGCAUCUGCAUCGAAGCUCUCAGAGCUGGUAGUUUGUAUCGGCGUCCUUUUUGUGCAAUACAGUACAGAAUACAUCCUGUAUCCAACUAAUGCAGAGUAUAUUCAAGUUGCCAACACACUGAUUGUGAAGAACCCUUUCCAGAGAAAUAUAAAGGAAAUGACUGAAACUUGUGUUGGGGAGGAUUCAGUGUCUGUUGAGAACCAUGUGAAUGUGCUACAAAGUGAGUAUCAGAAAACACAUCCAGACACCUGGACUGUCAAAGACCACACGGCACGAACAUUCUCCUGGAGACGCUGAGAAAGCACGGAAGGAAUGUCUGUGGAGGAUGUACUCAAAAACACUCAUACUUCAGAACACCUGCUGGAGUGAGUGUAGUAAAAUAAAUCAUCAACUGUAAAAUAUCUUGUUUCA